rnacentral:rRNA from 1 species
UACGUAGGCAGCGAGCGUUGUUCGGAUUUACUGGGCGUAAAGGGUGUGUAGGCGGUCCUCCAAGUUUGGUGUGAAAUCUCCCGGCUCAACCGGGAGGGUGCGCCGAAAACUGGGGGGCUAGAGUGCGGGAGGGGAGAGUGGAAUUCCUGGUGUAGCGGUGAAAUGCGUAGAUAUCAGGAGGAACACCGGUGGUGUAGACGGCUCUCUGGACCGUAACUGACGCUGAGACACGAAAGCGUGGGUAGCAAACAGG